rnacentral:rRNA from 1 species
AGUGAACGCUGGCGGUAGGCCUAACACAUGCAAGUCGAACGGCAGCACAGUGAGAGCUUGCUCUUACGGGUGGCGAGUGGCGGACGGGUGAGGAAUACAUCGGAAUCUACUUUUUCGUGGGGGAUAACGUAGGGAAACUUACGCUAAUACCGCAUACGACCUACGGGUGAAAGCAGGGGAUCUUCGGACCUUGCGCGAUUGAAUGAGCCGAUGUCGGAUUAGCUAGUUGGCGGGGUAAAGGCCCACCAAGGCGACGAUCCGUAGCUGGUCUGAGAGGAUGAUCAGCCACACUGGAACUGAGACACGGUCCAGACUCCUACGGGAGGCAGCAGUGGGGAAGAUUGGACAAUGGGCGCAAGCCUGAUCCAGCCAUACCGCGUGGGUGAAGAAGGCCUUCGGGUUGUAAAGCCCUUUUGUUGGGAAAGAAAAGCAGCAGGUUAAUACCCCGCUGUUCUGACGGUACCCAAAGAAUAAGCACCGGCUAACUUCGUG